rnacentral:rRNA from 1 species
GACGAACGCUGGCGGCGUGCUUAACACAUGCAAGUCGAACGGAAAGGCCCUGCUUUUGUGGGGUGCUCGAGUGGCGAACGGGUGAGUAACACGUGAGUAACCUGCCCUUGACUUUGGGAUAACUUCAGGAAACUGGGGCUAAUACCGGAUAGGAGCUCCUGCUGCAUGGUGGGGGUUGGAAAGUUUCGGCGGUUGGGGAUGGACUCGCGGCUUAUCAGCUUGUUGGUGGGGUAGUGGCUUACCAAGGCUUUGACGGGUAGCCGGCCUGAGAGGGUGACCGGCCACACGGGGACUGAGACAGGGUCCAGACGCCUAAGGGAGGCAGCAGGAGGGAACCUUCCGCAAUGGGCGAAAGCCUGACGGAGCAACGCCGCGUGAGUGAUGAAGGUCGUCGGAUCGUAAAACUCUGUUAUUAGGGAAGAACAAAUGUGUAAGUAACUAUGCACGUCUUGACGGUACCUAAUCAGAAAGCCACGGCUAACUACGUG